GCCCGUAUAGCUCAGUUGGUAGAGCAUUGUACUUAUGAGGAUACAGUUUAUGCCAUGCAAGGGUCGCGAGUUCGAUUCUCGCUAUGGGCA